AAUAAAGAAAAUUCAACCUAAGGUUUCGGAUAUUUUAUAAAAUAGUAUGUUUUAUGUAAAUGUUCCUAGUGUGUAUCAAAAAAACACAAAAUAAACAUGUCAGUAUGGCUUAAGCUAAGGGAGCUCAAGGGAACGAAGUUCUCUAUCACAGGCGAGGCGAACAGGGGGGUACAGUUCCCUCUCAUACGAGGCGCCUAUGUAUACCUGUACUUCUCUUUCAUAGGUGGGGCGAACAAUAGGUGGGGCAAACAAUAAGUUUGGUUGGUUGUUUAUUGUCUAACGUCCCGCUAGAGAAUUUUUUUUACUCAUAUGGAGACGUCACCAUAGCCGGUGAAGGGCUGCUUUAGGCGCUUGUGAACGGCCUUUGAGCAAGGGGAUCUUUAUCGUGCCAUACCUGCCUCAAAACAGGGCCUCGUUUGUUGUUGUUUUUUUGUUGUGUUUUUUUUUGGGGGGGGGGGGGUUGUUUUUUUUGUUUUUUGUUGUUGUUUUUUUUUUUUGGUUUGUUUUUUUUAUUUUAGUCUCAUCCGAAGGGCCGUCCCAUUUAGUGGCCUCUUACGACAAACAAGGGGUACUAAGGAUCUACGAGGUGAACGGGAAGAGCACAACUCACUCUUGUAAGUGGGGAGAACGGGAGGGAGUAUAGCCCCUAUUACACCCCCUCCCCAAACACGUGCUUCUCGGAUACCUAAAUACGAUGCUUAGAUAUUUUUUGUAAAUCUGUACAGAGUUUUUUAGUAUAUUUCACUCGGCCCCACCCCUAUUCCCCUCCUACAAGUGCCCCUAUUUUUCUACAUCCUCGGUCGUAUUUGGGUAAUUCCUUGAAUGUAAACAAUAAACAUCAAACACGUGCAGAGAGCAUGUGAUGAAGCACAGAGGAAGCUCCGAAGUUUGGGAAUUCAAAUAGAGAAAAGUGUCAUUCUUCAAUAAUUUGCUUUCACUUUCCUUUGUGGAGAGAGAGAGACACGGACAGAGAGACACACACAGAGAGAGAGAGAGAGAGAGAGAGAGAGAGAGAGAGAGAGAGAGAGAGAGAGAGAGAGAGAGAGAAGAGAGACAGACAGACAGAGAGAGGGGGACAGACAGACAGAGAGAGACAGGACAGACACAGAGAGAGAGACAGACAGACAGACAGAGAGAGACAGACACACAGAGAGAGAGAUAGACAGACAGAGGCAGGACAGACAGACAGACAGAGAGAGAGAGAGAAACAGACAGAGAGGGGGGCAGAGAGAGAGAGAGAGAGAGAGAGAGAGAGAGAGAGAGAGAGAGAGAGGACAGAGAGAGAGAGAGACAGGACAGACACAGAGAGAGACAGAGAGAGAGACAGACAGACACACAGAGAGAGAGACAGAGAGAGAGAGAGAGAGAUCUACAGUAAAUGAAUAUAUACAAUGUGUAUAUGUUUUUAUGGCAUGCACAUCUGUCACCCCUCUAAAUCCCACAGCAUAACUACCUGAUAGUGAUUUAUCGUAACAUAUAUAUGAUUAUAGCAUUUGAAUUUAUCAAUUUUUACUAACGCGCGUGCAUGUACAUGUUUAAGUCUAUAAUGAACUAACCCCUAAAUUAUGCAGGGUUUUUUUUUUAAAUGUUCAAUGACACCUGGUGCCCGUACACUUACUGCAUAAUGAGUUACUCGCUAUACACCUGAUGAAUAGAAAUGAAACCGGUUAAAUUCUGCGUUAUGAAUGUAUACAAAUGUUUAUUAUUUAAAAUCGAAUUCUUAUUUUCUAAAAAAUGAAGAAGAAAAAAGAAGAUAAGUUAAAGACUAUACAGAUUUAAAGAAUGAAAGAGGGUGGCAUCAUUGUGAAAUGUGUACUGUACAUGGAAUAUGCCCAUUGUACUGCUCGCAGAAUGUCUAGUUAAAACUAGACCAAGCCAGUUUAAUACUCUAGGUGCUUCAAUCCAUCGCGGAUCGAUCUGUCAAUCGGUGGCGGAUCAUAGAACACGAUAAAUGAUUUGAAGAAGGAAACAUAAUCUGUUGGAGAGAGUGAGGAUUACUGCAAUACGAUGGGUGUUAUAUCCUUCCUAAUUUACCAGUAUGAAAUCAAUAAUCUCGUUUUAUAAGGCCUGUGUGCAAAUACUCACGCACAAAACAAUUACAUCAGUUUAAUAAACAAAAGAAAUUCAAGCCGUUAACAAAUAUUCAGCAUUAUUAAGAGACAACAAAAUUACAGAUGUUGGUACUUAUUUGUUUAAAUACUCACGAAAUAUAGCCAUUGCAGCCUCCGUAGGGCUCAGUCACGUUGUGAAACUAUAAACUACAAC